rnacentral:lncRNA from 1 species
AAAUCCGUAUAAGGAAAUUUGAAUAUAGCAAAAGACUAAGCGUAUGAGUUUCACUUAUUAGAAUUACACAAUUAACUGUAUUCCGAACUACUAAAACACUAAGAAAUACUACAAUGCUUCUUUCUAGUAACAAUACUCCUUCAUCAAUUGAUAACCACAAUGUGCAACCUUGCACUCUCAAAAGAUUGCUCAAAACUCAAUAAAUUCCAUCCAACACCAGAAAUAACAGACUUCACUCCAACCAAUCUGAAUUCACAGAAUUCCUAUAAUCACAGACUUCCUCUGUAGAUUUUGCCCCUGAAAGUGUAACAUGAACCUCUUC